rnacentral:rRNA from 1 species
GAUGAACGCUGGCGGCGUGCCUAAUACAUGCAAGUCGAGCGAACAGAUGAGGAGCUUGCUCCUCUGACGUUAGCGGCGGACGGGUGAGUAACACGUGGAUAACCUACCUAUAAGACUGGGAUAACUUCGGGAAACCGGAGCUAAGACCGGAUAAUAUAUUGAACCUCAUGGUUCAAUAGUGAAAUACGGUUUUUCUGUCACUUAUAGAUGGAUCCGCGCCGCAUUAGCUAGUUGGUAAGGUAACGGCUUACCAAGGCGACGAUGCGUAGCCGACCUGAGAGGGUGAUCGGCCACACUGGAACUGAGACACGGUCCAGACUCCUACGGGAGGCAGCAGUAGGGAAUCUUCCGCAAUGGGCGAAAGCCUGACGGAGCAACGCCGCGUGAGUGAUGAAGGUCUUCGGAUCGUAAAACUCUGUUAGUAGGGAAGAACAAAUGUGUAAGUAACUAUGCACGUCUUGACGGUACCUAAUCAGAAAGCCACGGCUAACUACGUG